rnacentral:rRNA from 1 species
UACAGAGGGGGCAAGCGUUGUUCGGAAUUACUGGGCGUAAAGGGCGCGUAGGCGGCCUUCUAAGUCGAACGUGAAAUCCCCGGGCUCAACCCGGGAACUGCGUCCGAUACUGGAAGGCUUGAAUCCGGGAGAGGGAUGCGGAAUUCCAGGUGUAGCGGUGAAAUGCGUAGAUAUCAGGAGGAACACCGAUGGCGAAGGCAGCUCGCUGGGACGGUACUGACGCUGAGGCGCGAAAGCGUGGGGAGCGAACAGG